rnacentral:tRNA from 1 species
UGCCCCCUCGUCCAAUGGCAGGACACCGGUCUUUGGAUCCGGGAAUGGUGGUUCGAAUCCACCGGGGGCAA